GUGCCAUUUUGGUGGGCCUUACAUGGUGCUUUCAAUUGUCGCCUCGUGGAAAAACACUCCUGUAAGCUGUAUUCUUCGCUGUGCAUGUGGGACGAGACGAGCGCGUUGUCGAAAUUGUGUCGCUUCUUCAGCCUGCGCAGCACACUUUAAGGAACUCCGUCUGCCGAAUUACUUUGCGGGAGGAUCGUGCGCAGUUUUCAUUAAGAGGCACAUUUGAGCGGUCGUCGUCCGGUGUUGACGACACAGCUCCCCGUCCCAACGAACAAAGGAAUAGUAAGGCCGGUGUUCGCGUGUUAGCACGAUCUGACGAAAUUAAUAUAUAUGAAAUCAUUUAAAGUGAAACCCGCGAUAACGCAAUUUUUGUUGUAGUGUGUUCACUUGACACGUCUUUGCUGCAGAUAUAACUAACAAAUUAGCCUGACUCAUUCAGUCCGGUUAGCAACGCCGGCUAAGGUUAGCCGCAUUCGUGGACAGCUAGCGAGCUAACUGCUAACUUUAGCACUGUUUUGAUUCAGGCGGUAAGUUUUGUUUUGGGGCAAAAAUGGCCGAAGUGUACAUUCGGGUGGCGGAGGAGGAAAACGAGGAACCCAUGGAGAUCCCGUCGGAGGAUGACGGCACUGUUCUGCUUUCAACCGUGGCGGCUCAGUUUCCAGGGGCAUGCGGCCUGCGGUUCAGGAGCCCCGUGUCUCAGUGCAUGCGAGGAGUGCGUCUGGUGGAAGGGGUCCUACACGCGCCAGAAAACGGAUGGGGGAAUGUCGUGUACGUGGUGAACUAUCCAAAAGACAACAAAAGAAAAAUGGAUGAAAUCGAUGCCUCCUCUGCUGUGAAAAUGAAGAGAGGGGAUAUGAAGACAUCUGAUCUGAUCGUACUGGGUCUUCCUUGGAAAACAACUGAACAGGACCUGAAGGACUACUUUAGCACAUUUGGAGAAGUCAUCAUGGUUCAGGUAAAACGAGAUGCUAAGACCGGAAACUCUAAAGGAUUUGGCUUUGUGAGGUUCACAGAGUAUGAGGCCCAAGAAAAGGUGAUCUCCCAGCGCCAUAUGAUUGACGGGAGAUGGUGUGACUGCAAGCUCCCUAACUCGAAGGUGAAUAUGCAAGGUCCAGAUGAGCCACUGAGGAGCCGGAAAGUGUUUGUAGGCCGUUGCACAGAAGACAUGACCACAGAUGAUCUACGGCAGUUCUUUAUGCAGUACGGAGAAGUCACAGAUGUCUUCAUCCCCAAGCCAUUCCGUGCUUUUGCCUUUGUCACAUUUGCAGACGAUCAGGUUGCCCAGUCUCUCUGUGGAGAGGAUCUUAUUAUCAAAGGAGUCAGCGUUCACAUCUCAAAUGCUGAGCCCAAACAUGGCAAUAGGCAGUUUGAUCGUACAGCUCGAUUUGGAAAUGGUUUUGGAGCUCAAGCAUUUGGUAGCAGCCGUAGUGGGUUAGGGAGCAGCACUAACAGUAGUCUGGCAAAUUUUGGUUCCUUCAGUCUGAACCCCGCCAUGAUGGCUGCUGCUCAGGCUGCUCUGCAGAGUAGUUGGGGGAUGAUGGGUAUGCUGGCUAGCCAGCAGCAGACAUCCACCUCAGGCAGCACGUCCAGUGGAACAAGCUCUAGCAGGGACCAGAGUCAGUCUUUCAGUACAGGCAACAGCAACUACGGCACCAGCUCAGCCAGUCUCGGCUGGGGAACAGGGUCAAACUCUACAACCAGUGGUAGUGGGUUUAGCUCAGGUUUUGGGUCCAGCAUGGAGUCAAAGUCAUCUGGGUGGGGUAUGUAAGUUAAGUGUUUGUAUGGUAAGUAUUGUGAGAAAGAUGAGUCUUUUCGAAAUUUAUUUCUGGUGUUAACGCGUAUAUGAAAACUUAACACUUUUGUGGAAGAUGUUUUGUACAUUUGGAAAAAAUGCUAAAGAUUUAAUUUAGAAAGUGUCGAAGUAAAUUGUUUACCAGGAUGUCUGACUAAAGUGCUAUUUUUGAUGUCUCAUUUGUUUGUAUCCAUUUCAACUGGAUUCUCUAAUGCAUGUAUUGUGAAAUGUGAUAACCAUUUUGAAAAUGCAUGAAUGUUUGUGGUUCACCAUUAUCCGGCUUUGUCAUCGACCUAAAAGGCAAUCUUGCAUUGGGAAGAAUCUGGUUGAAACCUAAAUGUUUUAAGUGCAACUUUAUUUGCAGUCAAGUUCUAUGGAAAAGCCUUCAUUGAAAUCUCUUCUGCAGUUCACCUCUCUUCCAUUUUCCUGUGAGGAAGCUCCUCUUUGGCAGCAUUCUUGGGGUGAUAUCGGUAUCAUUCUCCCUCUUCCCACCUGUAAAUGCUAUGCCAUCAAAGAACGGCUUCACUCCGCAUGUUCUAAGAGACGGGACCUUGGGCUCUGCUGGUCGAGGUCUCCGUUUGAACCCUGACUGAAGUCUGUUCUGAAGGACGAAGAUGGAAGUUCCAACACUUUCAGUGUGUGUGGCCUUCUCAGACAUGACAUGGGGUAGUACCUGUCUUUUUGCUGCUUUUGAUGGCUUGUUGGAGUGAAUUAUCCCCUUUUUAUUAUUCACAGCUACUUCUAAGGUUAGCACAAGUUCCUGGGGACUCAUUGUCUUCAUGUCAACUUCAAGCAAUGAGCUCAGCAAUGUCUGAUCACCAUUCCAAACAAUAUUAUUUCUCCCUGAUUUGGCUGUAGUAGCAAGAUGACAAAUGUCACAUUGCUGAGCCUUGAAAUUUGGGAUUAUUUUGUCGUUUUAGAUCAAAUGGGUGGUUUGACAGUAUUAGGUCUCGAGGUUUCCUCAAGGGCAAAACACAUCAGUUAAUUCAUAAGUGGGUUUUUUUUUUUUAGAUAAUUUACAACCCAAACCACUGAAAUACAAUACUGUAAAGACUUUUUGAAGUAAACGUCACAGUGGCAGUACUUUAAAGAAUAAGACUUUAAUGUUUUUCAAUUCAUACAUGGGCAUUUUCAUACGUCAAACCUGUGCCAGAUGCACUACAGUUUGACAUUAGAUUAGCAGGUGACAAUAGAAGCUGGAGGAUAUUCGUUCCAAACCUGCAGAGCGGUUAGUGUGGUAUGACAAAGUCUCAUGCUGUAGACUAUUUGAAAUGCAUAACUCUCAAAACUAAGAAACUUGCGUGUCACUUGACUCACUGUCAUGUAUUAGUGAAUCUUCAUGUUCGUUUGAAUGUUGGGCAUGAAUGAGACACUGCAGGCUUGCCUUUGUCCUGUCCUUAUUCUCUUCUGUCCUCUUCAGUGUCUCUGCUCUUCCUCUUCCCAGUACCCUUCUUUUUCAAAUCCCUCUGCUCCUGGGUCAGUUCUUCACUUUUAUUUUGUAUGUAGAUGGACUGAAAUUAAUAAAGGCAAAUUAAACAUA